rnacentral:rRNA from 1 species
AUACGGGGGGUGCAAGCGUUAAUCGGAAUUACUGGGCGUAAAGCGCGCGUAGGCGGUCUGCUCAGUCGGAUGUGAAAGCCCAGGGCUCAACCUUGGGACUGCAUACGAUACGGGCAAACUAGAGUGUGAGAGAGGAUAGUAGAAUUUCCGGUGUAGCGGUGAAAUGCGUAGAUAUAGGAAGGAACAUCAGUGGCGAAGGCGACUGUCUGGCUCAACACUGACGCUGAGGUGCGAAAGCGUGGGUAGCAAACAGGAUUAGAAACCCUAGUAGUCC